rnacentral:rRNA from 1 species
UACGAAGGGACCUAGCGUAGUUCGGAAUUACUGGGCUUAAAGAGUUCGUAGGUGGUUGAAAAAGUCAGUGGUGAAAUCCCAGAGCUUAACUCUGGAACUGCCAUUAAAACUUUUCAGCUAGAGUAUGAUAGAGGAAAGCAGAAUUUCUAGUGUAGAGGUGAAAUUCGUAGAUAUUAGAAAGAAUACCAAUUGCGAAGGCAGCUUUCUGGAUCAUUACUGACACUGAGGAACGAAAGCAUGGGUAGCGAAGAGGAUUAGAUACCCUCGUAGUCCAUGCCGUAAACGAUGUGUGUUAGACGUUGGAAAUUUAUUUUCAGUGUCGCAGGGAAACCGAUAAACACACCGCCUGGGGAGUACGACCGCAAGGUUAAAACUCAAAUGAAUUGACGGGGACCCGCACAAGUAGUGGAGCAUGUGGUUUAAUUCGAAGAUACGCGCAGAACCUUACCAACACUUGACAUGUUCGUCGCGACUCUAAGAGAUUAGAGUUUUCGGUUCGGCCGGACGAAACACAGGUGCUGCAUGGCUGUCGUCAGCUCGUGUCGUGAGAUGUUGGGUUAAGUCCCGCAACGAGCGCAACCCUCACUUUUAGUUGCCAUCAUUUAGUUGGGCACUCUGAAAGAACUGCCAGUGAUAAGCUGGAGGAAGGUGGGGAUGACGUCAAGUCCUCAUGGCCCUUACGUGUUGGGCUACACACGUGCUACAAUGGUAUCUACAACAGGAAGCAAGACUGCGAAGUUAAGCAAAUCCCUAAAAGAUACCUCAGUUCGGAUUGCACUCUGCAACUCGAGUGCAUGAAGCUGGAAUUACUAGUAAUCGUGGAUCAGCGUGCCACGGUGAAUGCGUUCCCGGGUCU